rnacentral:misc_RNA from 1 species
AAGUCGUAACAAGGUUUCCGUAGGUGAACCUGCGGAAGGAUCAUCAUCAAUUUCAUAUCCCAACACCGUGUUGGGAUCCAUGAUAAACCCUUCUGUGCACCGUAACCGUUCACUUUGGCAGGCUUUGGUGGGGUGGGGUGAGCGUUAGCUCGCUCGCUCGCUCGCUCGCCAACCUCGCGUUCUCCCUCCCCACCGAGGGGUUACGCGUGGCGGCCUGCCGGAGUCCCGCAAUUAAAAACGCGUUUUCGAACUCGACUGAAAAUUUUCCUUUGAGAAAUCAAAGAACCUAAAAAACAACUUUCAACAACGGAUCUCUUGGCUCUC